CUAAAAGGGAGCAGAAGUGAAGAACUGCGUCUUGCAGCUCCCCACCGCGGUGCGUGUUUCGCCCCAGGGCCGCUUCCCGCCGCCGGAGCGAAGGGUUAAGCGGGAGGAAUGCGAGCGGCCGCGCAAAAACCGCCUGGAAAAGCACGUUCCCCGGCCGAGCAGAGCUCUGACCUCGCAGGAGAGCUUCCCUGGGGAGCCRGCGCGCGUGGGCAGCCGAGGGACGGAGCCCGGAAGAGUUAAAACACGACGGUUUAAAAGCUGAAACUCAGCGAUUCCUUUUUGGCGUUAGGGCAGUACCCUGGGGUGCACACAUUAGCAAAUUCUGGACUAAAACCUUAAUUUUUCUGUAAAAAAAGCUAUCCUGUGAGCCCAGGGCACCCCAGUGUCCAUCAUUUCCCCCUCAUUUUGCUUAUGAUUUUAGAGACUGAACGUAGAUGUGGAUUUGGGUUGCGUUUCUGGCUGCGAAAAAGCAAUUGCUCUUUAAUUUGGUUUUCCUCUUAGCUUUUAUCCUUGCUCGCUUUGACCAUCCCACGCUGGAGGACAAACCAUCAUCCAACGCGCGGCCAAAAAAGGCAACAAUAAGCAAUGGCUUUUCCAUCUCCGGCACCACACUCCUUUUUAAAUCAAAUUUGUCGAAAAGCCACAUCAUUUAAAAUCGAAUUCCUCUUUCGCGUGAUGCGGGCUGGAACUUUGUGCCUUUUUUUCCUUUGAAGCGCCCCGAAACGUUUUGCUCCCGGAAAAACCCCAGUCGCUGAGCUUUUACAUCCUGCUCAGCCAAAYCUGUAGCGCCGGGUGAGUCCGGUCCCGGGGGCAGAUUUUGGGGAGAAACGCGGCAAAACGCCGUUGCUUUACGCCAGGGAUGCCGGGCAGCGUACAGACACCGCUGAGCCGCCCCUCGCACGCGGAUGCAGAACGUCAUUUCCCAGGUUUAAUGGGAGGAAGCYGCCUGAAGGGGAAUAUUAAAAAAGAAAAAAAGGAAGAAAACAACAAAACGGGGCCGGUAAAUGGGACUGGGCUGCUGAUAAUACCGCGGGGGCGGAAGUUGCCGCACGCGGAUGGCGAGAAGAUGGAUGAAUACAUCACGCCCUGGGYGUGGGAAGGAAGCGGAUUCAUCCAUCCCCCCCCGCGCUGCCCCAGACGCAGAUUGGGGCCGCGUGGGAAGCGUUUCGGCUCGGCCGGCGAAGGGAUGUUCAUCGCCCUGCUCCUGUUGCCCCCCCGGAGAUGCUGCUGCAACGACGCCCGAGACCGGCCCCGAACCGYGACGUUUCCCAGCGCUUCGUGCGCCGGAUGCGGGAGCAGAAAAAGAUGAAGACGGCACCGCAUGGGACUGCAGCAAGGCUAAUGAACCCCGGACAUCCGUAGUGACACCUGGAUACGGAGCGCAGCGCUCGGCCUCGCAGCCUUUCCCGCGGCCCCGUCCUCGGCAUGAAGCACGGGAAAAGCAGCAGGAGCAACGGCUGAAACGCGGCUUUGCUUAAUUCAGCGAGUUUAACGGCUUUUUUUACCCCACCUUGUUCAACGGCAGCUCUCGCAAUGGCGAACGCAAUAAUUUGAUGAAAAUCUGAAACUUUGGUCGCCAGGAAAUCAGAAUUUUGUUAUUUGGGUGUCAUCUCGCUGCUGCUGAGCGUCUCCCGCCGCCGGUUACGACGUUCCUCCUCGUCCGGCGAGGAAAAACGGGCAGCGACCGCUUUUCCCAGCCGGAGCGAAGCCGCGUCGGCCCCACGGGACGGUGUCACCCGGGGUGUCACCCGCGCCGGCGGUCGCCGGAGAGGGUUUUUGCAGGGCGCUUGUGCGGCCGCUGCUGCAGCUGCUGGGAGAGGCUUUCCGGGAAGCGCCGCRGCAGAGACCAGCCAGGGCAGCCCCAGCGCCWGCCGCCAGCCCAGGCGGUCUGCGGGAACGCGGCGCGGGGAAGAAGCAGAAUUGGGGUGGCCUGGUAAUAAUCAUACGUGAUUAAACGCUUGCAAUACCCACGCUCGGGGCGUUCACGCGCCGCGGUAGUGACGGGAGCGUAAGGAUCUGCUCCCCCCGCCCCGGCGCUGCCUCCGGGGAGGUUUGCAGCUCUCUUUGCAAAUCCUCAAAUUAACGCAAUUAAACUCUGCGUCUCGGAGAGGUUAAACAAGCUGGAAGGUCCUCCGCGGACGGCGGCGCUGAUGGUGCUCGGCUCGGCCCUCCCUGGCGCCCGGCACCGUUUCCGCGGGGUUUUUCCCCGCUCUGCGGCGUCGACCGCAGCGGAUGGGGACGAGCGUUUCGCCCGGUUUGGAGGACGGAGCAGAGCCGCGCUGAGGCCUGGCUGCGCCUUUAGCAUUUUAGAUUAGGGAAAGGGGCGACGGUGGGUUAGAAAAUAAACCAGCACGACGGAU
rnacentral:lncRNA from 1 species